CAAUACUUCAGAGACAACGACACACCAGAGGUUUCCCCGAUAACCAUAUGGGAAGCGCAUAAGAGCGUCAUUCGCGGAACACUCAUCCGCAUUGCCUCGCAAAAACGGAAAGCGAAUAUGAUCGAGAUGACUAACCUAUAUCAAAAGAUUUCAAAGCUGGAAAGUCAACACAAAAGAUCCCAACUACAUGAAACAUACGGGGAAUUGAUGGAACAUAGAAGGGCACUCAAGAGACUCAUCACAAAAAAACAUCUUCGAAAUCUCCAACGCACGAAGGGUUUCUACUAUGCGCACGCCAAUAAAGGGGGGAAAUACCUGGCCAGAUUAUUAAAAGGCC